GAGUAACGCGUGGGAACGUGCCCUUCUCUACGGAAUAGCCCCGGGAAACUGGGAGUAAUACCGUAUACGCCCUUUGGGGGAAAGAUUUAUCGGAGAAGGAUCGGCCCGCGUUGGAUUAGGUAGUUGGUGGGGUAAUGGCCCACCAAGCCGACGAUCCAUAGCUGGUUUGAGAGGAUGAUCAGCCACACUGGGACUGAGACACGGCCCAGACUCCUACGGGAGGCAGCAGUGGGGAAUCUUAGACAAUGGGGGCAACCCUGAUCUAGCCAUGCCGCGUGAGUGAUGAAGGCCUUAGGGUUGUAAAGCUCUUUCAGCUGGGAAGAUAAUGACGGUACCAGCAGAAGAAGCCCCGGCUAACUCCGUGCCAGCAGCCGCGGUAAUACGGAGGGGGCUAGCGUUGUUCGGAAUUACUGGGCGUAAAGCGCACGUAGGCGGACUGGAAAGUCAGAGGUGAAAUCCCAGGGCUCAACCUUGGAACUGCCUUUGAAACUAUCAGUCUGGAGUUCGAGAGAGGUGAGUGGAAUUCCGAGUGUAGAGGUGAAAUUCGUAGAUAUUCGGAGGAACACCAUUGUCAAAGUCGUCCCGCCGCAGCAUUACAUACCCUG
rnacentral:rRNA from 1 species